GACACGACUCUCGGCAAUGGAUAUCUCGGCUCUCGCAUCGAU
rnacentral:rRNA from 1 species